GUCCCAGUUAUUGAAAUCCCAGUCAAUAAAGAAUCCUUUAUUUAUCGGUAGAAUAAACAGUUUUAAGACCUUUUAAGCAAGUGGCGGACACUUUAUGAAAUAUCAGGGGGGGGCUCGUGCCGAAGGCACGGAAAAUUUUUAAAUUUGAAUCCCAGAAAUGGCAUUUGCAGCAUUCUGAGACACGCAUAAUCAGAAAACCCAGAAUUCCGGGCGCCAGAGUAUGCCUGUUCGCAGGUAGUGCUGUGAAUAAUAUAGUUAACAACAAAAAUCGUGACCAAAGACACCAAAAACGGAUCAAAAUUGUAUUUUAAAAUACUCAAAACGCAGAAAAAUUGGGAAUCGACUCGCAUUACCUCAUUCCCAUUUUUGAGGACUUCAUUUCCCAUUCCCAGUGGCCAAAUCCCAGUCCCAGCAACCCAAAUCCAUUUUCCCAGUCUAAAAAUAGAUCAAUCCCAGUUCCCAUUUUACCCCUUCAGGAACCUCUUAGCACCCUCGGUAAAUCCACUGUAAAUGAGCGAUGGCAUUCGAGUCACAACGUCGACGCUUUGAAAACUGUUAUAUUAUGUU